GGGGGACCUUCGGGCCUCUUGCCAUCGGAUGUGCCCAGAUGGGAUUAGCUAGUAGGUGGGGUAACGGCUCACCUAGGCGACCAUCCCUAGCUGGUCUGAGAGGAUGACCAGCCCCCCUGGAACUGAGACACGGUCCAGACUCCUACCGGAGGCAGCAGUGGGGAAUAUUGCACAAUGGGCGCAAGUCUGAUGCAGCCCUGACGCGUGUAUGAAGAAGGCCUUCCGGUUGUAAAGUACUUUCCGCGGGGAGGAAGGGAGUAAAGUUAAUACCUUUGCUCAUUGACGUUACCCCCAGAAGAAGCACCGGCUAACUCCGUGCCAGUAGCCGCGGUAAUACCGAGGGUGCAAGCGUUAAUCGGAAUUACUGGGCGUAAAGCGUACGCCGGCGGUUUGUUAAGUCAGAUGUGAAAUCCCCGGGCUA
rnacentral:rRNA from 1 species